ACGGGAGGCAGCAGUGGGGAAUAUUGGGCAAUGGGGGAAACCCUGACCCAGCAACGCCGCGUGAAGGAAGAAGGCUUUCGGGUUGUAAACUUCUUUUACCAGGGACGAAGGACGUGACGGUACCUGGAGAAAAAGCCACGGCUAACUACGUGCCAGCAGCCGCGGUAAUACGUAUGGUGCAAGCGUUAUCCGGAUUUACUGGGUGUAAAGGGAGCGCAGACGGCAUGGCAAGCCAGAUGUGAAAUGCGGGGGCUCAACUCCUGAACUGCAUUUGGAACUGUCAAGCUAGAGUAUCGGAGAGGUAAGUGGAAUUCCUAGUGUAGCGGUGAAAUGCGUAGAUAUUAGGAGGAACACCAGUGGCGAAGGCGGCUUACUGGACGAUAACUGACGUUGAGGCUCGAAAGCGUGGGGAGCAAACAGGAUUAGAUACCCUGGUA
rnacentral:rRNA from 1 species